AAGACCCCGUGUGUCCAGAGACCACCGAGGAGCAACAGCCUAAGGAUUCCACAUGGGCUGAUCUCGAAAGAGCUGUGAGAAAAAGAAAAUCCUUUCAGCGGGGAGAACAGGGCCUUUUAUUUGUUGUGUCCUCUGCUUGGAAAAUUCUUCCCAGAACUUGGAUGUCAGCUCUUGUCUUGAAAACUUCCUGGUCUCUGCUGAAACGGCCCCUCUUCAGAGACCCCCUAGCUCUGAGCCUCUGCCCCGAACACCUUGAAAUCCGCAUUCUGCUUCAGUUUCCUCCUGGCACUUACCUGUCACUCUAGGAAUUUUAGGUGACUUCUGCUCCUUCUCUUUGCUAUUUGCUCCUUGUCCUUCCCGGCGCAAUGCAGGCUGCAUGAGAAGAGGGCUUCGCUCCGCCUGCUCGCCUCGGCCUCCAACACCACAGUGUCUGGCACAGCAUCGGUGUUUGACAAAUAUUUGUGUCACUAAUAGAGAAAUCAGCCAUACUUUAUUCAUCUCUUUUUAAUGGGCAAUUUGUUUUAAUCACUGAGAAAAAUAAAGCAACGUUAUUUGCCAGUGUAACAGGGAAGUGCUUCGAUUCUAGUACUUCAAGCAAGUACGGUCUCAGCCUUGCAUGUGAUUCACAAGCAGCGCACGUGCUUUGAGAUUUCCCUCCAACCUGAAAACCCCAAAGUUCCUGUGAUGUGGCAUUUAUUACUCUCAGCUUCCAGAUGGACAACUAACCACAGAGAAAUGUAUGCUCUUCCCAGAGGCACAUGGAAAUGUGGAGAAUCCAUUAUGUGUCAGGCACAGCCCUCAGGAAGUGAAAGAGGCAUGGAUGAAAGGAGCUUGUAGACCCACAGAGGCCAGCGAAGUGUAAUAAUGGGAAAAAGAGAAGCGCUCGGAUAAAGGAGUGUAAACUGUGGUACACAAUAAAGUCUCAGGAU